AUGCUGACGCUGGCGCGCGCCCCUCUCCGCUGCCUCUUGCUAUCCUCGCCCCCAGCCUUGUCGCUCUGCUCCCCCUACAUGACUGUAGGCCACCGCAGCGUCGGUGGCGGCGUCUCGCCCCUUCUCCUGAUGCUCUCUACUUGCCCCUCGGCGUGGCGUGUCGGCGAGGGCUUCCCGGCCGCAGGGGCACCAAGCGGGGCCUCCUCGCGAGGCAGGAGCUUCUAUGCCCACCCCGUCAGCAUGGACGACGAGGCGCCCUCCAGCUCCGCCGCCGGUAGCGUCUACGACCUGGCCGUGCGUUACCUCACCGUGGAUGAAAUUGCCAACGCUGCAAAUCUUGACGAGAUCUCCAUAACCAGCAUAUAUGCACACUGGGAGGACGUGGGCUUGAGCAUUUCGAAUGCUGCAAGCUCAAAUUUAGUUAAGCUUGACUGA
rnacentral:rRNA from 1 species